rnacentral:rRNA from 1 species
GACGGACGCUGGCGGCGUGCUUAACACGUGCAAGUCGAACGGAAAGGCCCCAGCUUGCUGGGGUACUCGAGUGGCGAACGGGUGAGUAACACGUGGGUGAUCUGCCCUGCACUCUGGGAUAAGCCUGGGAAACUGGGUCUAAUACCGGAUAGGACCGUGCUUUAGUGUGUGCGGUGGAAAGUUUUUCGGUGCAGGAUGAGCCCGCGGCCUAUCAGCUUGUUGGUGGGGUAAUGGCCUACCAAGGCGGCGACGGGUAGCCGGCCUGAGAGGGUGUACGGCCACAUUGGGACUGAGACACGGCCCAGACUCCUACGGGAGGCAGCAGUGGGGAAUAUUGCACAAUGGGCGCAAGCCUGAUGCAGCGACGCCGCGUGGGGGAUGACGGCCUUCGGGUUGUAAACCCCUUUCGGCAGGGACGAAGCUUUUGUGACGGUACCUGCAUAAGAAGCACCGGCUAACUACGUG